rnacentral:rRNA from 1 species
UACGUAGGGUGCAAGCGUUAAUCGGAAUACUGGGCGUAAAGCGUGCGCAGGCGGUUUUGUAAGUCUGUCGUGAAAUCCCCGGGCUCAACCUGGGAAUUGCGAUGGAGACUGCAAGGCUAGAAUCUGGCAGAGGGGGGUAGAAUUCCACGUGUAGCAGUGAAAUGCGUAGAGAUGUGGAGGAACACCGAUGGCGAAGGCAGCCCCCUGGGUCAAGAUUGACGCUCAUGCA